ACAUCAUAACACUAGUUCCCAUACAGUCACAGAAAUUAAGCAUCAGUGAGCCUGGUUAGUACCUAGAUGGGUGACCAUUGGGAAUACCUGGUGCUGUAAG